rnacentral:rRNA from 1 species
UAAGGAAUAUUGCUCAAUGGGAGAAAUCCUGAAGCAGCAACGCCGCGUGGAGGAUGAAGGGUCUAUGACUUGUAAACUCCUGUAAAGAAGGAAAAAAUUCCCAUUAGAUGGGAGAUGAUGGUACUUCUGGAGUAAGCCCCGGCUAACUACGUGCCAGCAGCCGCGGUAAUACGUAGGGGGCAAGCGUUGUCCGGAUUUACUGGGUGUAAAGGGUGCUCAGGCGGAUUUGUAAGUCAGAGGUGAAAUCUUACAGCUGAACUGUGAAACUGCCUUUGAUACUGCAAGCCUAGAGUAUGGAAGAGAGUGAUGGAAGAUCUGGUGUAGCAGUGACAUGCGUAGAUAUCAGAUAGAACACCAAUGGCGAAGGCAGUCACUUGGUCCAUUACUGACGCUAAAGCACGAAAGCGUGGGUAGCAAACA